CAGAUCGUGGUCCACAGUUUAUCUCUGGCUUUUGGAAAGAGUUCUGUUCUAUGCUUGGCGUAACACUGAGUUUGUCUUCAGGAUGUCACCCCCAGACUGACGGCCAGACGGAGCGAGCUAACCAGGAACUGGAGAUCCGCCUAAAAAUACUGUGUGGCAACAAUCAACCAAGUGGGUUGAGAACCUCUCCCUAACGGAACACGCUAUCAACAUCUUUCCCGCAAGUGCCACUGGUCUUUCCCCCUACUACGUUGUCAAUGGAUUUCAGCCACCAGUCUUCAUCGUCCACUAACAGGCUGCUAGAGUUCCUUCAGCAUAUCAAGCAGAUUUAAGAUGUCAGCAAGUUUGGAGAGCUGCCAGAAAGGAGGUACGCAAAUCUUCCUUGGUGGCAUCAAGAACAGCCAACCGUAGAAGGAUUUCUGCUCCCCAUUACAAGGUUGAGGACCGAGUUUGGUUGGCCAUGAAAGAUUUACCUCUCAGGGUAGAACGCCACAAAUUAGCUCCUCACUUUGUGGGUCCCUUUCCUAUCUCUAAGGUAAUCAACCCGGUGGCAGUCAGGCUCAGCCUUCCCGGAUCCAUGAGGGUCCAUCCCACUUUCCAUGUGUCCCGGGCCAAACCUGUUCUCCAGUCAAGAUUUGUGCCCUCCUCCAGGCCCCCUCUUCCCGCCCGACUCAUCGAUGGUGGUUCUGUCUUCACUGUCAAUAGUCAGCUAAAAUCUCGCCGAUGGGGACGACAAAUCCAAUAUCUGGUGGACUGGGAAGGAUAGGGACCUGAGGAAAGGUCUUGGGUUCCAGCUCGACACAUUCUAGAUAAGAACAUAAUUAAAACAUUUCACAGAGAUCAUCCGGCCCAGCCAGGUCCACUCAGAGGUCCGUCAGGUGCCGGAGCUUGAUGGGGGGUUCUGUUAUUCUGUCCCUGUCUGCCCAGAUCAUGCCUCAGUUUAGUUUUAUUAUCUUAUUUCAUGUUCCAGUUUCUCCUCAUAGUCUUGUUCCCAGCCUUACAGCUCACAUCCAGCUCCUGCUCAUUGCUCUCAACCCUCCCUUCAUAGAAACCCUAAUCAAGCUCAUUUCACUCACCUGUUUCCUGCAGUAUAUAAUCCAAUCUCACUCUCCAGUUCACUGCCAGAUUAUCUUGAGCUUGCCUGUGGUUCUCCAGUGUUUUCAUCCAUGUCUUAUUUUGCCUCUUGAUCCUGACCUUGUUCUUGUCCCCUGGUUCAACGAUUCUCGCCUCAGCCCGUAACGGAUUAUACCUGCCAUCUGCUUUACCGGUAAUGACUCACGCCUUGCUUUUUGGGCUCCUGCUCUUUGCCUCACCCCUGAUCAGUACCUCCAGCCAUCUGACCACCUGGAUCUCGACCCAUGCCUGUACCACGGAUUAUCAGAACUUGCCUUUUGGACCCAAACACUCCAACCAAAUUAACGGGUGACGUCACCGCACCGUGCUGGAACGCAAACCCUUCCAUCAAAGUUUCCGUCUGGAGUCCUUCAACUGGAAACAGAUCUGACGAGAAUCCAGUCCAAGCACUUCCUGGUUAAUUCACCUCUGCACAAUAAACUUUGUAAAACUU